UUUUAUUUAAUUCUCGAGGUAAACUAGCAUUCCUUUUAUAUCACUGACUUCAGAUAAGAAUAUAGGUGACGGCUUGGCAGAUUCAUCUAAGGUACCUUCAGUUAUCAUGUGCAGUGCUUCGUUUUCGUCUUCAUUUCCGUUAUUUGGCGUGAAAGUUUUCCGCUUGUAAGCCGACUAGAAAGUACUUAUUAUGUGCUUCAAACUCAUUUCAAGCUAAAAAUACAAAUUAAUGGGAUGCCUUGGAAACUGCGCCAACUGUUUAUUCGACUGUUCCUGCUGCAAGUUCUCAAAAAUAAAUAUCAAGAAUAUACACAACACUGAAUGCUGCUUGGGAUUUCGAAAGAGGCAUAGCAGCAUUUGCUAUUUAUUUUGUUUAUAAUUUGCGGCGAUAAUGCGGCUUCAGCUGAUUCUUCCUCCUCGUUGUGUGGCACCGUGCACCGACUGGCACUCACUCCAGAUUGUUGCUUAUUAAUGCUAAGAAGUAAAGAAUUUUACUAUUUAUGUCCGCCUUCAGAUCAGUAUAAACCCAAAAAUUGAAUUGUUAUACUUAUUCCUUUGGAAAGGACGCGCGCCAGAAAGCGAGAUUUGAUUUACAAUUCAUGUAACUAAAUUAACGCAAAGUGCACCAUAAAUAGCACUUAAAUUCAAAACUUAAAA